AACGCACAACAAUAAUAUACUUUAUUAACUUCAAAUAAGGCAUAACUUGGAGUAAGAUCCCUGACUCUACAUGAAUAGACAUCACACAAUGCCUUGACAAAGCUAAAUAUGAAUAAGAUUUAGUGCCUGACGCUAAUGAAUCAAAUAAGGAUAAACCUAGAACACCAGAUCUCCAAUAAUGAACAAAAAUCAUUCAAGCAUGUGCAAAGCCAUUGAUCUGAGAUGAAGGUCCAAGAACAUGCAUACUAACACCCUAUCACGUUUACUAAUAGCUAUACCUUGUUUAAUCAAAGUUGAUUUAGGCAAGGUAAUCACAAUAGAUUAGAAAACAAGUCAGAAUAACACUGUAAAAACAACAAAAUAAAGUAAUUUUUAUGCUUCAAUUCUUCAUUUCAUUUCAUUCUUCAAAUUCACUUCACAACCGAAGAGUUACAGAGUCGUGUACCUGAACGCAACAAGAGCAGAAUCAAAAACUCGAUUGGAGACUAAGAAGGAAUGAACAACAAUAAUAUAUCGACAACAGGGUAACAACAACAGUGUCAGCUUCAAAACCACAAUGGAACAGUAACAAAACAAUGGAAAUCCACCCAAAACUCUCAAGAAAAAACAAGUUUACUUCAUUUUUAACCCCCAAGCAAAUCAGAAAUGGGUUCAGAAGUUGAAAACCCCCAAAGAUUACAGAAGAUCAAUUCAAUGGAACAGUAAAUUUUGAAGUUCUCAGUCGUUCUUAGUUUUCUAAUUUUUCUCACUUCUUUUCAAAGUAUUGAACACUCCGUCCCAUUUCUCUGUAUUUUCCAGUCCUUAAAUAGGUAUUCAAUUAGUGCCAUUCCCACUAUCAAUUCAAUUUUUCUAUUUUUAAAUUAUCUACACUAGCUUAGUGCUUUUUAAUUAAUUCAGUAGUGUAUUUCCUAAACCCUACCAUUAUAGAAGCUUCCUAAAGUUUGGUAAACACUUUUUUGUUGAACAAUUAUCAAACAUUGCCCCCUUAAACUUCUGUCAAUUACUUUCAAGAAACUAGACGAAUAUGGGUCAAUCUUGACCCAAAACCUAUCAGGCCUUUGAAGUGGGAUCAAGAAUGGCCUGAAGGCCCAAACAAUCAAACUGAUCCAUGCCAAAUUUAGUGCUUUUAUCAAAAGCAGAAGAAAACAAACACUUAAAUGAUUCGAAAACUAGAAUUAUCUAUAUGACUGACUAAUAACAUACACAAAAAUGGAAUGAACUAGUCUAUUAAAUCGAACUGAAUUAACUAAACUGAUUAAAUUAUUAAACGAGAUAUGAUUUCCAAAUUUUAAACAAACUGACCACACAAACUUAUGAAACCAAGAACAAAUUCACCAAACAUUCUGAAAAACAAAACAACGAACAGAAGAUAGUUUAUACCAGAGGAUUGGUCGAGUUUCAAUUGAAAUCGACCAGAGAAAAGAAAAAGAGAUGGGGAAAGACGAACAAUAGAAUAAUACUAAUGAGAAUAAACAAAAACUAGGAAAGAACUCACCGGCUAGGCUCGAACUUGGAAUUGACACUCUCAAUCAACCCAAAAUAAUACCAAACGUUUGUUCUUGGUGGACAACAACGAGCGUCAUUAUUUUGUGAUGAAACAGGCUUGAAUAAGCCAAGAAAUCCAGCAAAAUGACCUUUCAUGCACUGGUCAGAAUUUAGGGUUCUAGGGCUCGAACUCAGAUUUGAUAGUCGAAAAGUUCUGGAUACAUUCGAGGGAAACUAAUGAUGGGUUUGGUAUGAGGGAGUCCUGGGGGUUAUAUGGUUUUGAUUUGGGGUUGAUUGGGUAGGCUAGGGUUCGGGGUCCGAUCUUUGAUCCAAGAUUCAAAGAGUUAUGGGGUAAUUCGAGGAGAAGGGAGUGUGGAUUUGGCAUGAAGGGAGUGAGGGGGUUCUAUGGUGUAAUUUUGGACGUGAUUGAGCCACCAAAACCACCGUGAGGCGAUUUUCGGUGGGCGGAAGGCAGCGGAGUGAGGCGGUGAGAUGGGGUGUCUCUGAAGAUAGGUGAGAGAUGAAUGAGUGGGGGGAUUCUG
rnacentral:lncRNA from 1 species